CCUACGGGUGGCUGCAGUGGGGAAUAUUGGACAAUGGGGGGAACCCUGAUCCAGCCAUGCCGCGUGUGUGAAGAAGGCCCUCGGGUUGUAAAGCACUUUCAGUGAGGAAGAACGCCUGGUGGUUAAUACCCAUCAGGAAAGACAUCACUCACAGAAGAAGCACCGGCUAACUCCGUGCCAGCAGCCGCGGUAAUACGGAGGGUGCGAGCGUUAAUCGGAAUUACUGGGCGUAAAGCGCGCGUAGGUGGCUUGAUAAGCCGGUUGUGAAAGCCCCGGGCUCAACCUGGGAACGGCAUCCGGAACUGUCAAGCUAGAGUGCAGGAGAGGAAGGUAGAAUUCCCGGUGUAGCGGUGAAAUGCGUAGAGAUCGGGAGGAAUACCAGUGGCGAAGGCGGCCUUCUGGACUGAGACUGACGCUGAGGUGCGAAAGCGUGGGUAGCAAACAGGAUUAGAUACCCUAGUAGUC
rnacentral:rRNA from 1 species